GAAAAACUCAAAAUAAACUGAAUAAUUUUUAAUCUCUUUCUGCAACAGUGAGUGAAUGUGUGUGUUUUUGUAGGUGAAAGAUCAGACAUGGCAUAAUUGUAUAAAAUUACAAACAAGCUACAUAAAGCCCAAAGAUCCCUUAUUCUGCUACUUUGAUAAUCUUGCACACUAUUUUCUUGAAUUUUUGAUGUCUAUAUCCAUUGAAGGGAACUCUGAUAAGAGCUGUGUUUCAUCAAUGGACAGUAAAGAUUUGAACUUUAAGGCAACUGAACUUAGACUAGGCUUGCCUGGUUCUGAAUCACCACCAGAUAAGAAUGAUUACCCACUUGGGGUUUUGAAAAUUUUCCCUUCUGGAGCUAAAAGGGGUUUUUCUGAUACCAUAAAUGGUGAUUCUGGGAGAUGGGGUUUUGGAUCUGAAGUUGAUUUUGUUAAAAACAGUAGCUUUAUUGUUUCUCCAAAGGGUGUAAAAGUUGGAAAUAAGAUUCUUGGUUCUGUUUGCAAUGAGAGUAGCUCUGUGAAAGAGGGAACUCCAAAAUCACCUAGACCAGUGGAAGAGAAAAAGGCCUUGAUUUGUAGUACUAAUAGUCAUGGGGUUGCUCCAGCUGCAAAGUAAAUCUUUCAAAACUUGCCCUUAAUAAGUACUUAGAUAAGCUCUUUUUUGGCUAUAUUAGGAAGUUAAAGUUGAAAAGUUGAGUUUUUUAUGUUGUGUUGCUACAUGCAUUUUACUUGGAAAAAAAUUGAUGUAUUGUUAGUGGAAGUCCCAAAUAUCCAAAAUUUUGGUAUGGCCAAAUGCUAGCUUAGAUUCAUAGUAUGAUGCAAGGUGUUUUUCUCUGUCUCUUUUCCUUAGAAUACAUGUAUUGGCUCCAUGUCCUCACUGGAGAAAUAGUUUUUCAGUUGAUUAAUAGCACUUUUGAGGAUUGUGUACAGAAAUUUCUUUUGUUUUAUUUGCUCAACAUUCAACCAUCACAGUUUUGUUCUUGUAGAAUUCUAUGAUUUUUUUUCUGUAUUGUUAGAAUUUUCCUGAAUUGACUAGCUUUAUGGUGAUUUUCAGUCUAAUGCAACCCUCUAGUACUUUAUGUUUCUUCAUCUGUAUGGAUCUUGUUCAUCCAUCCUGUGCUGUCAUUAGCUAAAUCUGCAUAUUAUUAGUCAUGAUAAUUCAUAUAGCUGACCCCAAACUUGUUUGGGGCUGCGGUGUAGUUGAUGUUUUUCUUUUGGCAUUAUAUUGGUCAUAGACGAGCUUAAAAUGGAACGACAUGGUUAAUGACUCUAGAUAGGAAGGUAUGGAGGUCGAUGAUUUGGGGUGGACAGGUAGCGGGUAACAGGCAGCUGAGUGUGUCGUACUAUAUGUAGGAGAGGAGCCCUCUGCCUAUCUUUCUACUUAUUUAGUGUCAGUUAGUAUUCACAUAGUAUCAUAUUCUUUAAUUUUAGUACUACAUGUUGCUUCUUUUGCUUUGUUCGUGUUGGUCUUCAUGUUGUUGUUGUUGUUGACAUGGUUCGUGACUAUUCAUUUAGUUGAUCCCAACUUUCUGGCGGUUGAGAUAUUGAUGUUAUUUGUAAUCCUAUAAUUUAUAGUAGUCAUGGCUUUGAUUGAAUAUCUGAUAAAUUGGUUGUACUGUCAUCUCUUUUUUCUGUUUGAUUACUUGUAGUUCCCCCUCCCUCCUUACCAACUUGGCUUCUAAGUUGCGUGGACUCUUCACUUUCGACGGAUUCUAACAACAAUACUCUACUUUUGGAGAAUCUGACACACACCCGUUAACAUUUUUGAAGAGCCCGAGCAACAUAACUUGGCUUAAUCUUUUCUUUGCUCUUGCAUCUAGCUGUUCAGUUUUGACCUGUAAAGUUCUAGAAUCAAGAUAAUUAGAACCAGGAAUGAAUUGAAGCUCCUUUUAUUAUUUGGUCAGGGCACAAGUAGUAGGAUGGCCACCAAUUAGAUCUUUUCGGAAGAAUAUGGUUAGUAAUCCUCCAAAGACUGAGGAAGAUGCAAAUGGUAAGCUAGUAGCAGGUUGUCAUUAUGUCAAAGUCAGCAUGGAUGGUGCUCCGUACCUGAGGAAGGUUGAUCUUACUAUGUACAACAGCUAUAAGGAUCUAUCUUCAGCACUAGAGAAAAUGUUCCGUUGCUUCAAGGCUGGUAAUUCUUGGUUUUAUGGUUGUUAUUACUUUUACCAUUGAAGGCAUCCCCAUGAACGCUUCAUGCGGUUGUUCUUUUCGACUCUGAAAUCAAUUUCAGUUCUGCACUUUGUACUGAAGUUACUAUCUUCUAGAGGAGUAAUUGUUAUAUGGUGUCACUGAAAUGACCUUGAAAAGCUCAAAUCGAUACCUUUUGUUGUUCAAAGUUGAAAUUAUAUUUGUCUUAGUUCUCCGAAAUUUCAAUAUUCUUUAUCUUGAUCAAGGAUUUUUGCCCUUAAAAGCAGCUACAUGCUGCUCGAGUCGGGAUGUGUUGGUCGUUAGUUACUUGCAAAUCUUAAAAAGCUUCUCUUUUAUAGCCCAAGGAAAGAUAAGGUAUUUAAACAAGGUGUAAGCUAUGUUGUUCGGACUCUCCAAAGAUGUUGCUGCAGCCGUGUCGGAUCUUCCAAAUACGUACUACUUUUUGAGGAUCCAGUACACACCCAGUGUCAUUUUUGGAGAGUCGGAGCAACAUAGGAUGUAAGAAAAUGUUUAAGUAAAACUAUUAUCAUUCAUAUAUGUAGUUUUGAUUGAACGAGUAGUAUCACAUUGAUAUAGAAACCGAGUUCCUAACUACAUCUUUCGAACAUGCUUUACGUUUUCUUCCUCUAAGAGCCUAUUAAUUUUGAGUUUCAUCUAUAAUUUAUUUAGGCCAAUGUGAAACUCAAGGCAUUUCUCUAAGUGAUGGACUUAAAGAAAGCAAAUUGGCGGAUCUUCUACAUGGAUCUGAAUACGCUCUUACUUAUGAAGACAAGGACGGUGAUUGGAUGCUUGUCGGUGAUGUCCCAUGGGAGUAAGUCUUACAUCUUAACUUAAACUUUUAAAAACAUUCCGAAAAAAUUUCUUAAAGCUCACAAACAGGUUAGUUUGUUUGAGCUCUAAUGCUGUAAAUAUGAUUUCAAACCUGUCUUGACGAUAGAGGACUGGUGUAAAGUGUAAACGCCUGUUCACACUACAAUAUAUACUUUGCCUCACAAGCUUCAAAAUUUGCUGUCAAAGUUAAACUUAUAUUUUGCUGUUCAUGAAGAUCCCACCAGACGCCUUUUACGUUUGACAGGCCUUGAACUAGAUUAGAAUCAUUGUGAACGAAUCUUAUGAUAUUUAUGCAAGAGAGUUUAAUUGAUCAUUCCCGUAAGUUGAACAUCACUCAUUUUUACUAUGUAAUUCCUACUCGUCGUUUUUUUUUUCUGUAUGUUUAUAGGAUGUUCACAGAAUCCUGCAAGAAGCUGAGGAUCAUGAAGAGUUCAGAUGCAAAUGGUCUAGCUCCAAGAGCCGCGGAGAAGUGCAAAGAUCGUUAGAAUCUGCAGUACUUUCGCUGCAAACAUUCAAUCAAUUCUCUAUAAGCAAUGAGAAGUCGAAAUUCACAUGUUUCUUCCUAUUCAUGUUAAGGUAGAUCACCAAAUCUGUGGAUUUGAAGAUCGACGCCAGGAUUUCGAGUGUUUCUGUCUUGGAAAUCUUUAGUAUAACUAUUUGUGUUACAUAUAUAUUCAUAAUAUAUGCAAAAGUAUUCCAAUUUAUAGCCAUAGUAGUAUGUUGUUCUUUUUUUUUCUGUAUUGUUACUGCUUGAGUCUCCAAGGCUUGUGAAAGAAAAUGUAAAUGGUCUCACUUUUGUUUAUAAAAGUUUCUUUGUAUGUGCAUCUCGAUUAAAGAGGCCCUGGUGAACCGUCAUAAUUAGUGAACGAGUGUAAGCUUCGCUGCCCGACAGUAUGGAGUUCCAAUCGAUCUCCUCCAACAGACAAUAGAGGGCUCUGACCUGACCACAGUCAAUCAGUCUAUUGUUCUGGUUCUAUAGAGUCUUUGUUGUUCAGCAUCUUGAACUAGCCAUCCCUAACCAGUUGAACCGUUCUCUUAUAGAACGGGUAAGCCACAAAAGAAUGUUCCUUGCUUCCAGCUAUCCUCAUGAGUCAUUUUUGCUGUAAUCUGUCUCUCGAUAAGAAGUCCCACCAGCACUGAUACCGAUAUUUUUGAUAUGUUUUUGUGGUUGUAAUAUAUCAAGUCUCGCUUGUGAAUAAUUAAAUAUACACCUACAAAUUUUGUCGAUCUUUCUAAAUAACUUAUCAAGAUAGAUAUAAUGAAGAUGGUAUUAAUGUUAUACCCCGUGGACGUAAGACCUAAUUUAAUUUGAUAGGUCCCAGUAAAAUCCAUAUCUUUAGCCCACUGAAGAAAGCCCAAAAACUCUAAAACUCAAU
rnacentral:lncRNA from 1 species